GAGAUGUGGGUUAGUCUCGCGACGAGCGCACCUCACUUUUAGUUGCCAUCAUUAAGUUGGGCACUCUGAAAGAACUGCCAGUGAUAAGCUGGAGGAAGGUGGGGAUGACGUCAAGUCCUCAUGGCCCUUACGUGUUGGGCUACACACGUGCUACAAUGGCAUCUACAACAGGAAGCAAAACGGCAACGUUAAGCAAAUCCCGAAAAGAUGCCUCAGUUCGGAUUGCACUCUGCAACUCGAGUGCAUGAAGCUGGAAUUACUAGUAAUCGUGGAUCAGCGUGCCACGGUGAAUGCGUUCCCGGGUCUUGUACACACCGCCCGUCACACCAUGGGAGUUGGUUCUACCUUAAGGCAAGGUUUUAAACCCUUGACCACGGUAUAGUCAGCGACUGGGGUGAAGUCGUAACAAGGUAGCCGUAGGGGAACCUGCGGCUGGAUUACCUCCUUUCU
rnacentral:rRNA from 1 species